UACGUAGGGUGCGAGCGUUAAUCGGAAUACUGGGCGUAAAGCGUGCGCAGGCGGCGGCUCAAGUCAGGUGUGAAAUCCCCGGGCUCAACCUGGGAAUUGCGAUGGAGACUGCAAGGCUAGAAUCUGGCAGAGGGGGGUAGAAUUCCACGUGUAGCAGUGAAAUGCGUAGAGAUGUGGAGGAACACCGAUGGCGAAGGCAGCCCCCUGGGUCAAGAUUGACGCUCAUGCACGAAAGCGUGGGGAGCAAACGAGG
rnacentral:rRNA from 1 species